rnacentral:rRNA from 1 species
GACAGAGGCCUCGAGCGUUAGGCGGAAUCACUGGGCUUAAAGCGUGUGUAGGCGGGCCCGUAAGUGUCUUGUGAAAUCCCACGGCUCAACCGUGGAACUGCUGGGCAUACUGCGGGUCUUGGGCCAACUAGGGGCAGCCGGAACAAGCGGUGGAGCGGUGAAAUGCGUAGAUAUCGCUUGGAACGCCGAAGGUGAAAACAGGCUGCUGGGGUUGCGCCGACGCUGAGACACGAAAGCCAAGGGAGCAAACGGG